rnacentral:lncRNA from 15 species
CUUGCAGACAGGUCGCACAAAUACGGCUUGAACACACUUUUCUGUUUCUGUUUGUUAUCAACAGUGAGUAUUUACAUUAUAAUGUUUCUAACAAUACAAUACAAUACAACAUAAUAAUUACUAUUAUAGGGAAGUUACUGGUGUCUUCCUCUCACAAUAUCUCCAUCUUCACCAGUGACUGAACAUGAGGACAAUGAUGAGGUGAUGUUGUCAUGCUCUGUACCAAAAGAUGGAGAGUGUAGACACACAGUGAACUGGCUAUACGAGGGUGAACGUGUGGCUGAAGACAACAAAGACAUGAAGAUAUCACAUUCUGACUGCUCGGCUACUGUGACAUUUCUCACCUCUUAUCUCAAGCAUCAAGCAAGCGAUUAUCACAAGUUGUUUAAAUGUGAAGCACAUCAUCAUUACAUUGGAAAAGCGCAACUGUUUACCUUCCGCCCUCAGUCCUCAGGUGAGGAUCCAACAACAUCAGUGUUAACAGAAGCACCAACAACAACAUCAACAACACCAUCAAUGACAAUGACAUCAACAACAACAUCAACAACACCAUCAACAACAACAUCAACCACAACGUCAACAACACAAGAAGGUGAGAAACAAAGUAGCUCACUCUCUCAAAUGUAGAUGUUUACAGUGACAGUAUGGAUGUAUUUAUGUUCCUACUCUCUGUUACCCUCCUACACAACGCUGACUCAUGAGAACUGUGUCGACACUAGUUAACAUAUAGAAAGAAUAUAACAUGCACAGUUUUGUCAGUUUUAUGUGUUAGCAUGCUAACAUUUGGUAAUUUGCACUAAACAGGAAGUACAGCUGAGGCUAAGGAGAGAGAGAAAAGAGGAAGCAUGUUUUUUAGUUUGUUGUAUAUUUGUUUUGUUAAAAAGAGAAACAUGUUGUGUUUGUAAAUGUAAUAUUUGUCCAACAGAUACAGUAACUUUUAUAUUUUAGAGUUUAAAAUGACGAUCAUAUUUUUCUAAAUGAAGAAUUAAAAACAACAUGAAUGAGAAGUGGCUUCAGUCUCCUUUUUGUAGAAGGAACACAAAAGGGAACUUCCACACCUCAAAUGGUUGCAUGGACAGUAAUCUUCAGUAGCAGAAUAAGAAACAAGCAGCUCAAUAUCCACAAAGUAAUGUCAUUAUAUUAAAGCUCUAUAGCAGUUGAAAGUUGUGAACUUUCUUCACUGACAUUAUGUUUCUGUUGCACAGCUCGUACAGAUUGUUCUGUUCUGAACUACAUAAUGUUGGUUAUGCGUGUGGCUGAACUCCUCCUAAUUACUGUGAUUACUGUUCUUCUCAUCAGAGCUCGAGGUGAGAACAUUCAGACCAACAUUUGUUUACACUGAUUAACACAAACUGUAAGUUUAGAGCUGAAAUGUUACGCUGUGCUUUAUUUUCCAGAGAACCAGAGACCACCUGAUGACAGCACUGUGAGUUGAGAAUAAAAACUGAAGUGAACCCAUGUGUAACAAUAAAAAUGUAUAUGAAUGAUCAGAGACUGUAAGUCAGUGUAAAUGAUGAUAAGCUGCUGCUGGGAACUGUUCAUGUUACUGUAAUGCAGGACUGUGAAUGUCUCACUGUUUGUGUUUGUGCAGGUUUUAAACUCAGAAGGAAGCCGAGCAGUAAGGCGUUCAGGUCCAGCAGCCAGUCAGGUAAAGAUCAGAUCAGACAGUAACUGGAGGAAAAUCUGGCAGUUUGGGGGAUUAUAACAAAAUUCAUGGACUGAAAACAUUUAUUUGUUCCAGUUAAACUGAAGUGUGUUGCUGUGUUUCACAGUUGCAUCGUGAUGAAGAUGGACAUGAUGGCACAGUGAACUAUGAAAACGUUGGAGAGCCUUCUGCUUCUGUCAGACUCAACAACUUCCACACCAACAUCAACUCACCAGAGAAAUGAGUCCACUGCUCUUAAGGGUUAAUUCACAGCAUUAUUUAUUUACAUUUGAUGGUGAUUUCUUUGUAGACGGAUCUAUUCUCUGAAUAUGAAUGCAAGUACGUAACAAAAUGGUAACAUAAAAAAAAGCUACAAAAAGGACUUUUUUGGACAACUCUUAUUCAUAUUCUUCUCUUGUGUGAAUAAAUCAAAUCUUUUUUGCGUAUUCUUUUGAGAUUCAGGCAAGUGAGACACUAAAACACUGAUAAUGAAAUGUGACUUCAAGGCAAAUAACGAUUUGAAAUGAAAUCUAAUCAUCACUGAAGACUUGAUAUUGAAAUAUUACUGAGUUAAUUGCACUGAAGGAUUUAAGUUUGCAAACCAUACAUCUGAAUGUACGUUCUCUCUUUGAAACUUUCACUCGUCAAUUACAAUUUGAAAGCCAUCAGAUCGUUUGACUUGACUUUUUAGAUCUUGAUGAAUUUGUGCAAUUUGAAUGGUUUUGUAUACCUGGUAUGUUGAUGGAAUUUGUGAAUCCUUAAAAAUAUACAUACAUAUAUCCUCGAAAUAAAGUUUUUGAAAUUUCACCACAUUAAAUUGACUGUUGAACUUUUCAUUCCAUCUGGGUUUAGU